AUGUACUUUGCGAUCCCCUCACGGAGGGUGAUGAUCUCCUCCUUGGAGAGGUCCUUGGUGACCUUAUUUUCCAAAUUGAGCUCUGAAAGGAUGUGACGGGCGCGUGCCCGUCCAAUGCCAUGGAUGGACUGCAGUGCGCACUCCACCCUCUUGUGGUUAGGUAUCACAACACCACCAACACGAAUGGAAUCAAUGAACCCACCGUGGCCGAAACCUCCGUACUGUCAAGUCAACGAUAAAAACAAGAAUGGAGUUAGCAGCCAGCAUACAUCUGUCGGUACCAAUCUUGUUACAACACAAAAAUGGCAUUUGUUGCUAGUAAGAGAGCAAGCAUGUAAGCAUUUGUUGGCUGAGAGGAUUCGUUGCUGGUUAGAGAAGCACUCAUUUCUGGUAAGCAGAUGUUGCCAAGUAAAGGAAGAAAGGGCAGGUGUUGCCCGGACACAUAUCUGGUGUGUCUCUACUCUGUUUUCUAUGUUUGUCUCUCUGCUCUUUGCGAAGCCUGGAAACAGUGGAAGCGAGAGAUUGAGAGAGGGCUGUCGCCAAGGAGAGGGCUACAUAUAA
rnacentral:rRNA from 1 species